ACUCAAAGGAAUAGACGGGGGCCCGCACAAGCGGAGGAACAUGUGGUUUAAUUCGAUGAUACGCGAGGAACCUUACCCGGGCUUGAAAUAUACUUGAAUAAUGUUGAAAGAUGUUAGCCAGCAAUGGCAAGUAUGUAGGUGCUGCAUGGUUGUCGUCAGCUCGUGCCGUGAGGUGUCGGCUUAAGUGCCAUAACGAGCGCAACCCCUAUUGUUAGUUACUAGCAGGUCAAGCUGAGGACUCUAACGAGACUGCCACCGUAAGGUGUGAGGAAGGUGGGGAUGACGUCAAAUCAGCACGGCCCUUACGUCCGGGGCGACACACGUGUUACAAUGGGAGGAACAGAGGGUCGCUACCUGGCAACAGGAUGCCAAUCUUAUAAAACCUCUCUCAGUUCGGAUCGGAGUCUGCAACUCGACUCCGUGAAGCUGGAUUCGCUAGUAAUCGCGCAUCAGCCAUGGCGCGGUGAAUACGUUCCCGGGCCUUGUACACACCGCCCGU
rnacentral:rRNA from 1 species